rnacentral:lncRNA from 1 species
UUUUUGUUUGUUUCUCACAUACGACGCCAAUUUACUGCGUCAAUCGGCUGCUCCAAAUUAGGGUUUUGGUCAAUCCAUAAACUUUGACUUUGACUACCGUUUGGUAACCUUGAUUUCGCCAGAAAACCUGCAAAAGGUUCACCGAAGUUGGGGACUCCGGAAGGACUCUCCAAUACUUAAGUCAGAAUGCUGAUACGAGGAGAAAAAAAUUAUUAA